UACGUAGGGGGCAAGCGUUGUCCGGAUUUAUUGGGCGUAAAGAGCGUGUAGGCGGCUUGGUAGGUCCGCUGUGAAAACUCGAGGCUCAACCUCGAGAUGUCGGCGGAAACCACUUGGCUAGAGUCCGGAAGAGGAGAGUGGAAUUCCCGGUGUAGCGGUGAAAUGCGCAGAUAUCGGGAGGAACACCGGUGGCGAAGGCGGCAUCCUGGACCGGUAUUGACGCUGAGGCGCGAAAGCCAGGGGAGCAAACGGG
rnacentral:rRNA from 1 species